AGCAUAUCAAUAAGCGGAGGAAAAGAAACCAACAGGGAUUGCCCCAGUAACGGCGAGUGAAGCGGCAACAGCUCAAAUUUGAAAUCUGGCUCUCGGGCCCGAGUUGUAAUUUGUAGAGGAUGCUUUUGGUGAGGUGCCUUCCGAGUUCCCUGGAACGGGACGCCAUAGAGGGUGAGAGCCCCGUCUGGUUGGACACCGAUCCUCUGUAAAGCUCCUUCGACGAGUCGAGUAGUUUGGGAAUGCUGCUCUAAAUGGGAGGUAUAUGUCUUCUAAAGCUAAAUACCGGCCAGAGACCGAUAGCGCACAAGUAGAGUGAUCGAAAGAUGAAAAGAACUUUGAAAAGAGAGUUAAAAAGUACGUGAAAUUGUUGAAAGGGAAGCGCUUGUGACCAGACUUGGGCUUGGUUGAUCAUCCGGGGUUCUCCCCGGUGCACUCUUCCGGCUCAGGCCAGCAUCAGUUCGCCCUGGGGGAUAAAGGCUUCGGGAAUGUGGCUCUCUCCGGGGAGUGUUAUAGCCCGCUGCGUAAUACCCUGUGGCGGACUGAGGUUCGCGCAUUCGCAAGGAUGCUGGCGUAAUGGUCAUCAGUGACCCGUCUUGAAACACGGACCAAGGAGUCGUCUUCGUAUGCGAGUGUUCGGGUGUCAAACCCCUACGCGAAAUGAAAGUGAACGCAGGUGAGAGCUUCGGCGCAUCAUCGACCGAUCCUGAUGUUAUCGGAUGGAUUUGAGUAAGAGCAUACGGGGCCGGACCCGAAAGAAGGUGAACUAUGCCUGUGUAGGGUGAAGCCAGAGGAAACUCUGGUGGAGGCUCGCAGCGGUUCUGACGUGCAAAUCGAUCGUCAAACAUGGGCAUGGGGGCGAAAGACUAA
rnacentral:rRNA from 1 species